GAUGAACGCUGGCGGCGUGCUUAACACAUGCAAGUCGAACGGUGAAGCCCAGCUUGCUGGGUGGACUCGUGUCGAAAGGGUGUGGAACACACGAGUAACAUGCGCUCAUCACUGGGGUAAGCCUGGGAGACUGUGGGUAUAAUCCGGGAUGAGCGUUCACCGCGCGUGGGGGGGUGGGGAGAUUUUCCGCGGUUGGGUGUGGUCGCGCGGCUUAUCAGCGUGUUGGUGGGGUAGUGGCUCAACAAGGCGAUGACGGGUAGCCGGCCUGGGAGGGUGACCGGCCACACUGGGACUGAGACACGGCCCAGACUCCUACGGGAGGCAGCAGUGGGGAAUAUUGCACAAUGGGCGGAAGCCUGAUGCAGCGACGCCGCGUGAGGGAUGACGGCCUUCGGGUUGUAAACCUCUUUCAGUAGGGAAGAAGCGAAAGUGACGGUACCUGCAGAAGAAGCACCGGCUAACUACGUG
rnacentral:rRNA from 1 species